rnacentral:rRNA from 1 species
GUGGGGAAUAUUGGGCAAUGGGCGAAAGCCUGACCCAGCAACGCCGCGUGAAGGAAGAAGGUUUUCGGAUUGUAAACUUCUGUCCUCAGGGAAGAAGGACGUGACGGUACCUGAGGAGGAAGCCCCGGCUAACUACGUGCCAGCAGCCGCGGUAAUACGUAGGGGGCGAGCGUUGUCCGGAAUGACUGGGCGUAAAGGGCGCGUAGACGGCUGUCUAAGUCUGGAGUGAAAGUCCUGUUUUCAAGGUGGGAAUUGCUUUGGAGACUGGAUGGCUUGAGUGCGGAAGAGGUAAGUGGAAUUCCCAGUGUAGCGGUGAAAUGCGUAGAGAUUGGGAGGAACACCAGUGGCGAAGGCGACUUACUGGGCCGUAACUGACGUUGAAGCGCGAAAGCGUGGGGAGCGAACAGGAUUAGAAACCCGUGUAGUCC